AAAUCUCCCCCUCCUCACUCCUCCAGCACAAUUCAAAAAGUAGGUGCAUUUGAAUGGAACUCAUGAGUCAAGAGGUAUGAAACACCUUAUACCUACAAUACUUCGAUUUCAACCGACCUUAAUUAUUUCUCUUCAAGUCGAGAGUCAGCUCAACAAAUUUUGAGUCUCUCUGUCUCUCGUUACCCGAAAAACUUUUCAAUUCUCAGAAAUUACAACACUGAUUUCCAUCGUCCGAAAAAAAAUGAAUUGUUUAUCAAGUGAUAUCGAUUUCAGAUGUGUGUUAGUGUGUUUCAUUCUUAUCGUUGAUCAAUAAUUAUGUGAAACACCAGUAAAAUUCUACACAAUUCGAGCCCACUUUACACAUACAGCGUGUGUUAUGUAGUGUUAAAUAUUGCUCAAUUUUUUUCUAGUUUUUCGUUUCUUGAAUAAUUACCAUUACCAAUGUCGUGGGUUACUUUCGUAUCAAUUUAUUUCAAUAUGUUAAUGAGCAAAAUUAAAGCGGCGACAGACGAGUAUGAUCUGCAAAAUAUGAUUGCUCCUUUGAUGUGGUGUUUCGAUACUUACCCAGUGCUUUCGGUGGUUCUCGUGAUCGUUGCAUCUGCAUAUGCAGUUCCUAUUUGCUUAUUUUUACUAUUUAGUGUAAUUACAUUCGCUAUUACUUUUGCUGGAUUCCUCUUCUUGGAAGGAGCAAUUAUAGCGGUAGCUUUUGUUGUACUGUUAUCAGUGUUAUCUACAUUGACCAUAACAUUGGCCUUAUUUGUACUCACUUGCUGGACGAUUUAUCUAGUAAUUGCACAGUUCUGUCAAACAGUACCCAUAACAUCGUUUUCAAACACGCCGCCGGAUGAUAACUUACUCAACAACAAUCACCUGAAUCGUUCGUUUCAUUUAAAUAACGAAGAAUGAAUCUCAUUUAGAAUACGAUACAUGACUACCAUUUUAAUUAAUUCAUAUAGCAAUGUAAAACACCAAUACCUACCUGCGUAUUUAUGAUCUCAAAUUCAAAAUAUGACUACCUAUUAUAAGGAAACCAUGGUAAAAUAUUAAUUAAUUCUCGUAGGUAAAUUUUACCUAGUUCUUUUGAAAAUGUAAGGGUAAAUAGGUAUAUUUUCUUCUUAUUGGUUAGGUAUUUUAUAAUUCUCGAUCUGUGAUAAUGACUUGGUUAACCAUACAUUUUUCUUUAGUGAUAUAAUGUACAAAGUAGUACUUUUAAUUGGUAUUUUAAAAGGUUGAAUGAUUUCUGUUACAAAAUACUAUAAAAACUCGAUUUCUCAGUAAUUAAUUUCGAUAAAAUUUAUCGCUGCAAUACUCUUUGAUAAUUUUACUCCAAUUAAACUCAUUUUUUUCAGACCUUAUGUAUUUAUAUAAGUUCCAUUGUUUUUUUUUCUCCAGAUAUAGGUAAUGUGUUUGUGUAGCAUCGUUAGUACGUAGUAUUCAAACUCCUUUUGAUAUUAUGGGCUCUUCUAUGUAUAACUAUCGAUUAUGUAAUCUCAGGUGGCAAUCUGAAGAAAGAUGGAAGAUGAGUAUUUGUUCAUCUGUAAAAGCCUGUUCUGCUAAAUCGUGUGGGUAUAUUCUCGUCUAGAUCUUACUGACCUUCAAAAUACUGCCUUGUACGCGUAAUUAUACCUAAUUUUGAUAGUUUUUUUCUCUUCUAAAUAGUUUUUCUGCGCAUUACUUGUAUGUUUACGAAGUUACCUGAACCAAUAUAAUAUUUAAAUUGUGAAUUUAUGACUUUUAUCCAGUUGAAAUAAACGUUUUUCAGUUUUCUGCGAAAA